AGGGUUCGAUUCUGGCUCAGGAUGAACGCUGGCGGCGUGCUUAACACAUGCAAGUCGAACGGGAUCCAUCAGGCUUUGCUUGGUGGUGAGAGUGGCGAACGGGUGAGUAAUGCGUGACCGACCUGCCCCAUACACCGGAAUAGCUCCUGGAAACGGGUGGUAAUGCCGGAUGCUCCGACUCCUCGCAUGGGGUGUCGGGAAAGAUUUCAUCGGUAUGGGAUGGGGUCGCGUCCUAUCAGGUAGUCGGCGGGGUAACGGCCCACCGAGCCUACGACGGGUAGCCGGCCUGAGAGGGCGACCGGCCACAUUGGGACUGAGAUACGGCCCAGACUCCUACGGGAGGCAGCAGUGGGGAAUAUUGCACAAUGGGCGCAAGCCUGAUGCAGCGACGCCGCGUGAGGGAUGGAGGCCUUCGGGUUGUAAACCUCUUUUAUCGGGGAGCAAGCGAGAGUGAGUUUACCCGUUGAAUAAGCACCGGCUAACUACGUGCCAGCAGCCGCGGUAAUACGUAGGGUGCAAGCGUUAUCCGGAAUUAUUGGGCGUAAAGGGCUCGUAGGCGGUUCGUCGCGUCCGGUGUGAAAGUCCAUCGCUUAACGGUGGAUCUGCGCCGGGUACGGGCGGGCUGGAGUGCGGUAGGGGAGACUGGAAUUCCCGGUGUAACGGUGGAAUGUGUAGAUAUCGGGAAGAACACCAAUGGCGAAGGCAGGUCUCUGGGCCGUUACUGACGCUGAGGAGCGAAAGCGUGGGGAGCGAACAGGAUUAGAUACCCUGGUAGUCCACGCCGUAAACGGUGGAUGCUGGAUGUGGGGCCCGUUCCACGGGUUCCGUGUCGGAGCUAACGCGUUAAGCAUCCCGCCUGGGGAGUACGGCCGCAAGGCUAAAACUCAAAGAAAUUGACGGGGGCCCGCACAAGCGGCGGAGCAUGCGGAUUAAUUCGAUGCAACGCGAAGAACCUUACCUGGGCUUGACAUGUUCCCGACAGCCGUAGAGAUAUGGCCUCCCUUCGGGGCGGGUUCACAGGUGGUGCAUGGUCGUCGUCAGCUCGUGUCGUGAGAUGUUGGGUUAAGUCCCGCAACGAGCGCAACCCUCGCCCUGUGUUGCCAGCACGUCAUGGUGGGAACUCACGGGGGACCGCCGGGGUCAACUCGGAGGAAGGUGGGGAUGACGUCAGAUCAUCAUGCCCCUUACGUCCAGGGCUUCACGCAUGCUACAAUGGCCGGUACAACGGGAUGCGACACGGCGACGUGGAGCGGAUCCCUGAAAACCGGUCUCAGUUCGGAUUGGAGUCUGCAACCCGACUCCAUGAAGGCGGAGUCGCUAGUAAUCGCGGAUCAGCAACGCCGCGGUGAAUGCGUUCCCGGGCCUUGUACACACCGCCCGUCAAGUCAUGAAAGUGGGUAGCACCCGAAGCCGGUGGCCUAACCCUUUGUGGAUGGAGCCGUCUAAGGUGAGACUCGUGAUUGGGACUAAGUCGUAACAAGGUAGCCGUACCGGAAGGUGCGGCUG
rnacentral:rRNA from 1 species